UGGCUGCUCCCCUCGAUGGGCUUCUUCAGAACUCCGAGACACACAAUAUUGGGUUACAGUAUAGCAAAAUGGCGACUGUCAUUCACAAUCCUCUCAAAGCCCUGGGUGAUCAGUUCUAUAAGGAGGCUAUUGAGCACUGCCGCAGCUACAAUGCCCGUCUGUGUGCAGAGCGCAGCGUGCGGCUGCCCUUCCUCGACUCCCAGACCAGGGUGGCACAGAACAACUGCUACAUAUGGAUGGAGAAACGCCACCGGGGACCAGGGCUGGCGUCUGGACAGAUGUACACGUACCCGGCUCGCUGCUGGAGGAAGAAGAGACGAUUGCACCCUCCUGAAGACCCCCAGCUCCGCCUUUGUGAGCUCAGACUGGAGGGAGAGCUUCCUCAGAGGAAGGAGGGCCAGCUGGCUGAGGGGACCACACUGGAGGCCCUGCUGAGGGGAGAGGGGCUGGACAAGAACAGCUCCAAGGACGAGGAGAGCCUGCUAGAGAUCCAGAGGGUUCUGGAGGCCGACGAGAACGGAGAUGGUUACCAUGACGACGACGAUUUUGAAGUUGACACUCCAAAGCGAAAACACAGGACCAAAGGACGAGGCCGUGGCUCGGGCAGGAGAAGGACGGAGGCUGCAGUCAUGGACGACCAGGACAAGCCCUAUGUGUGUGACAUCUGCGGGAAGCGCUACAAGAACCGCCCAGGUCUCAGCUACCACUACGCCCACACCCACCUGGCAGACGAGGAGGGGGAGGAUGAGAGAGACGAGGAGCCAGCGUGCUCCCCGCCAGCCCCCAAGCGCACUGACAACCACAAACCUCAGAAGGGCCCAGACGGGACCAUCAUUCCCAAUAACUACUGUGAUUUCUGCCUGGGGGAUUCGGGCUCCAACAGGAAGACUGGCCACGCGGAGCAGCUUGUCUCCUGCUCUGAUUGCGGGCGAUCUGCUGCCCGUGGCCGAGGGACUGAGGAGAGGAAGACGGGCUGCGGCACGGAGGACUUGUUUGGGGCCACCUCGGAAAGCGACACCUCCACGUUUCACGGCUUUGACGAUGAAGAUUUUGAUGAGCCUCUGUCCAACGACAGCAUGGGCUCCCCCAGAUGCAGAUAGAAAAUAAAUGGAAAACAAAAACUCUGAAAAAGUCUGCUGCUGCUUUUUUUUUCCUGAAUAGAAUGCUAUUUUUUUCGGACAAUUUUGCUGCUUUUUUUUUUUUUCUGGAGCCUUAAGCUUUUUUUUAUUAUUGUUUGACUCUGCGGAAGCAAUAGAGGGAUGGAACGCCACUUUUGAGGAACGAUGAUCCGCAGCAAGUUUAUUUAAUUAAUUUAAUGUAAUUUUAUUUAAUACAGAAGCAUCCUGAUGCAUUUAGUUUGAGUUAAAUGAUGUUUAAAAACUGAAACCCUGAAAAUGUGGAUUGAUUUGUACAAUAUGUUGUGGUAGAGAAAGCAACCAGCCUGUGUGAAAAUUAAAAGAAGAAAAAAAAAGACUUUUGUUAAAACACAAGGAAACAAAAUAAAAUCUGUUCAAUUGGAUAUUUGUGAAAGAAGGAGAAAAAAUAAUAGCCUUGCCGAUCCUCACUGUCAAUAAUGGAUUUCGGGAAUGUAACAAAAGUUUAAAAGAAGAUUCACCACUAGAAAACCCACUUGAACUCUGUCUGAUUGUGACCACCUAGCGCAGCCACAGAGGAUCCUGGGAGCUGGGGAUGGGGGGAGUCAGGGAGGGGGGGUCAGGAGACCCUCUGGCACCAUGCAGGGAGCCAGUCUGGAAAGCUGAAAGGAUCCAGCCAGCUCCAGGUUCCAGCCCCCUAGCCACAAGACGGAGGUGCAGCCCCCCCUCUCCCCUCCCCCUCCACCUGGACCAGGACCCCAGGGAGGGAGACAGCAGGCCAGACAGCUCCCAAAUUCACGUAGCAGGCAGACUUGCCCAUUGGACUGCUUCAAUAGUGCAAUACAGCCAUAGGCAUCACUGAUGUUUCAGGAAGACAAAACCAGUUGAACUGCAAAAUCUGGAAUAAUAAUAAUAAUAAUAAUAAUAAUAAUAAUAUAAUAAUAAUAAUAAUAAUAAUAGAAAAAGAAGUUGCAAUUUGUAUUUUAGGUAUUUAACAUUUUUGAAAAUGUGCUGCUUAGUGCAAAUAGCUUGGUUUUAUUUUUCGUUCUUGAUUUAUGUUUGGUGGUGUACAUUUCUGUUUUUUUUGUUUUUUUUUAAAGGGAAAAUAAAUUAAUUUAAAAAAGAUAUACUUUGUAAGUUUAAUAAAGGACUGUGCCUAGGGUGAGACAUGAAGCAGGGUUCAGCCCACUUGUUGUUUUGCUGAUACCUGUACAAGGUUGAACACUGAUUCAGUUUAUUUGGCCUGUGUUCAUCUACCUGAAGCAAACAAUGCAGCAGCAACAUAGCAGGUAUACAGAACAAGUGAUAGUGUAAAUCCUUAAAAAAAAUUAAAAACUUAACAGGAUGCAUUUGGAAGUUGAGGCAGAUUCAGGAUAGAGGGUAGGAGACACUUUUGGGUGUCUGGAAUCAGUCACUGGGCUCUGUCUGGAUGCAGUCCUGUGAUCAGUUAGUUAUCAGGAUCCUGGAUGCAGUCCUGGGAUCAGUUAGUUAUCAGGAUCCGGGAUGCAGUCCUGGGAUCAGUUAGUUAUCAGGAUCCGGGAUGCAGUCCUGGGAUCAGUUAGUUAUCAGGAUCCGGGAUGCAGUCCUGGGAUCAGUUAGUUAUCAGGAUCCGGGAUGCAGUCCUGGGAUCAGUUAGUUAUCAGGAUCCGGGAUGCAGUCCUGGGAUCAGUUAGUUAUCAGGAUCCGGGAUGCAGUCCUGGGAUCAGUUAGUUAUCAGGAUCCGGGAUGCAGCCCUGGGAUCAGUUAGUUAUCAGGAUCCGGGAUGCAGUCCUGGGAUCAGUUAGUUAUUAGGGUCCUGGAUGCAGUCCUGGGAUCAGUUAGUUAUCAGGAUCCUGGUUGCAGUCCUGGUAUCAGUUAGAUUACAUUAAGUCACAUUAAGAGGACUGUGUGUGUGCUGAUUAUCCACGAACGGGACAUGAAGCUUUCACAGGUGUGUGUGGCUAGUUCGUCACGUAGGCAAAAAUAGAAAAGAGAAAAGAAAUAAGCAGUUUCUUUCAGUAUUUCUAAAUUUUGUGUAAAUGCUGAGCGUUAGGGAUCCUACCUUGCUCACCUCUGUUAUGGCUACAGAAUACAAAGUUUAAUAUUUGUUCACACUAGUAUAGGACACUUUUUUAAAUGAAUUAUAAUUCACGUUUCACCAAAAAGAAAAAAAAAUCGAAAUCCAUUUUAUUCAGGUAUGAAUUUCUGAUUCAUCCAUCUGACAAUGUUUAUUCAGAGCAGAAUUUUACACUGCAAGAAUCAUUUUCCAGCAUUGAGGAAUCAAACACCUCUCCCUGGUUCUCCUGGGAUCACCCUUUGAUGCAGCUGUAUUUACAACUUUUUUUUUUUUUUUGGUGCACCUAAUUUCAUUUAUACAUUUUGCAUGCAAUUACAAUUCAGGAGCACAGUAUGUGCGUGUGUGUGUGCGUGUGCGUGUGUGUGUGUGUGUGUGUGUGUGUCUAUAUAUAUAUAUAUAUAUAGACACACACACACACACACACACACUGGUAUAUAAGUGUAAAUUAGGUAAAUAUGACUGAAGACAGACAAUGUGGAUGAGGACCUAUUCAUUGUUGUGUAUUUAUUGACUUGUAUUGUUAUGUGAACUGUUUGGUGUAUUGUUAUAUAUAUAUUUGGUAGUUAAGGCUAUACUUUUUUAAUAGGGAGCUUGCUGUUAAUACAGGGAGGGGCUAGAGAGAUAAAAGGCAAGUUUGCAAACUACCUGUGUCAAUAGUUGACAAGUGACAAGUAGGUCAAAAAUAUAAAAUACAUCUUGGCUGGACUUUUUGCAUGUAGUCUGUGUGGUGAUGGCUUGGAGAAAUGAUCCCCCUGACAAAUUCCUUUGGUGCUGGAAAAUGAACAGUGGAACAGAUUAAAGUGAAAGUUUGCUCUGCGGAAUUCGUAUCGUGAAUAUGUUAUGUGUUAUUUUGAAACGCAUAAACUACAGUAACCUAAUUAUGUUCCCUCAGUAGAGCGCUCUCGGAUUAAUCGCGCCCUUGGCUAUAACGUGCAUAAUUAAUGUCUCCUAAUUUUUUAUUUUUUAUUUUUUUUUACAGUUUUACAAGGCUAUGUGCUUACUUUUUGUGUAUUGCAUUCCCGUAUUUGAUUUGCAGCACCAUGCUCUCCCUGUUAUCCAACGCAGUAAGCAAACAGCAGAGCUUGCAUUAUCUAACAGUGUGAUGCAACUAAUCAAGUAACGUGUAAACUGCUUUGGGUCCUUAGAAAAGAACAGUAAAAACACAGCUUCAGUAACAUGAACACCAUUGACAGCUCUGAGGCUUACUGUUUCAAUUAAAGUAUCAUUGACUCAACACAGAUUUUACAUUUAAAAAUAAGAGAGUAGGCAAUACACAUGUCUGUACUUAGCAUUAAUUUCCCACCCGUUGUAUUCUGUUUAUAGAAAUGCAUAUGACUGCACUCCUUUUGCAUUUAAUAUUUCAGUUUUACGGUACUUUUUUCUUUUUGUUUUAUUUCAUACACAGGGUGCUUGGUGUAGUGUUCAGUAAAUGUAAUCAGUACCGUAAUGUACACUGUGUUUUAUUCAUGCCCGAAAAAAUAAUUUUAGUAUAACGCUCCCCCAGUAUAACUUUCCCUGUUUAAGCGAGUUUUAUAUAUAGAGGAUAUGCCAUGGCCCAACUGAAAAUACGGAAUUUACACAGGUCGAAGAGGCUGAAGAGUAAAAAGAAAUCUAAUAUUUUCAGUUGGGUAAUGGCAUAUUAGAUUUGUUUUUAAAUUGGGACUAUGAUGUGUCCUGCAGUGAUUGAUUUGUAUUGGUUGUUUGACAGAAAGAACAUUGUUUCCCAUGGGCACGGUAGUGGGAAUGGUGUCUUUUUGAAGCACAGUUGAGCUGCAGUGGUUGAGAAGGCAACAUGUCCUGUGGUGGAUUUGCUCACCCAGGCCCGAAUGAUGUAUAUAGACGUGUAUGUCUAGGUUGGGUUGCUCUGCUUCACUAUGGUUGUUAGGCGUGCUGUCUACUUUUGGAGCUGUACUAAUUGCCGGUUUCUGUUCCUCAUUUGUUGGUUUGGUAUCAGACAUAACAGGUGUUCAUUGUGUUGUGAUGCUCAUAACACUGUAUAUUUCACUACAAUUAGGGUACUACUAAGUGCUGCCUAGUUUUACUACUUGUGUAAUUGAGUAUUUUAAUGUGGUUUGAGUCUCCAAAAGGGUUCAGAAAUCUUUGAGAGGCUGUAUUGUUUGUUCUCGUUUUGGAGUGAAUCCUGUGAUGUUUUAAGUGGUUCAGUCAUAGAUUUCUAAACUGGUUGGUUUCACAGACCCCAAUUAGCAAUAACCUUGGACUACCUCACCAAAGCUGAUCGGGGCCAGUGAAACCAACAUGGUAAAUUCCCAUUAUUACCACUCACAACCGUAAAACUGUAGCCCCAGGGGUUGGGGAAAAGAAGUUGAAAAUUGCGUGCCAAGGGCAAAAGUUUUCCACUACAAGGUAAAAACUCUAGUCAAUUUUUGUUAUAAUAAACCUGUGAUGUAGAUUGAGUAACAAUUGAGUAACAUCAGCAGGCAAUAGUUCUUAGACUAUUGACUGCUAGAGUAACUAUUGGCCACUUUGUAACUUUGUAGCAGUAACAAUGUUUGAUCAUGUGACCAUGCAUUAGGCAAUUGGGAUGAUUUAAUAAUUUUGUGCCAUAGCCCAAUAAUCACCAGUGAUGUCACAGGUUUAAUAAAACCUAUAUUUACAUUAUAGUGAAAAGUAUUGUCCCUUGGGUUGAAAAAGUGACAUCCAGUGGGAUAUAUAUUCUUUAAGGUUUUAUUGAAGUCAGUAUUUGUAUAUUAAACACACAGUUAAUGUCUUUUUUCAGAUUCAGUAAGAUGAGGUUAACAAACGUGAUCUGGGCUUCCUGAGCGCAACCUCGAAGCGCUCCUACUGCAUACCUGCUUUGUUUUGGUAUCUGACACUUUUUUGUUGGUUUUUCAGGUCCUCUGUUUGGAAUGAGUGGGUGUAUGAGUGUUCGGUAGGGGUGGGGGAUUAGUUCAACACUGUAAAGCAUUGCUGACACAAUUAAAUAAAACUUAAACUAUUUAAGACUUCUUACAAGCCCCUAAAUGUGAUAUCCACCUUGUUUAUUUCUGGUGUUCAUGAGUUUUGAGUAUUAAUGUCUUUUGAGAAUCUAGCGCAUGGUCUUUUAAAAAAGUUGCUGUGAAUGUACCAGUUUUAGAAACUAGAUGUGGCGCUCCAUCCUAGAGCUUGCCUUGUUAACGUCUGUGAUUUAAUAUCCCAGAAGGAUACAGUAAUAGUACACAAACAGUAAGGAUUUAGACUGAAUCUUUGUCAUUGUCUUUUGUGUUAGGGGUAUGUAAAGAAAUGAAAGUGAAGUGCUGGAGUAACGCUACUGCCCUGGUUACAUGGCCUUGGGAGGUAGUAUAAGGGUCUAUGUGAAAGCAAGGCAAGCAAAGGAAGAGGUUUUUAACCUCUGUUCUUCCCUAUAAAGUAGCUACAAUGCUGCAUACUGUUGGUCCAAAAGGUCCUAAAAAAAGUACAUUUUACUUCUAAAUGUGCAUUUCAGUGUGGUGCAUAAGAGAUGAGUAUAAUGAAGCAUUACAUUAUUGAUAAAGCAUAGAGCACAAUUAGCUACAUUCCCUACUCCCCUAAUUAAACCUUUAAAAUAUUUAGAGCUUGUCAAAUAAUUCCAUAAGACAAUGACAAAGACUCAGUCUAAAUCCUUACUGUUUUUUUUUUUUUUUUACUACUACUAUAUCCCAGAUGCUAAACCCCUGUGUGGACUCUUUUGUUUAUGGUCAAUUCAGAUUUAAUAAAAUGCCUUUUUAAAGACCUAAAUGUAACCCCAAUAUGAAGCCCUUGAGUUCUGGAGCUACUCCAUCUUCUGCACACACGUGUCAUACAGGAAUCCUAAUACAGCACAGCUUCCUUUCUCUGCUGCCAGCUGGCUCCCCAUUGCCUUUUGCAGAGUUGUGGUUUGCUAUCUGUCUGAGCAGCAGGCAGGUCUAGUGCUUUAGCUGCUUUCAGAGCCUUGCUGACUGUGUGUGUGCACAGCGGGCCGGUACAAAGUCGCAUAAAACACACAUGCAACUCCCACCUGAGAUUUCUGUAAUUUCUGUAAGAUGUGACAUUUGAAAACUGCUUCCAGUCAGACAAACACCAAGAAGCUUUACCGUAAGGCUAAAACAAUAUUUAGUAUCCUUGACUUCAGCAGGUACGUGUAGAUUUUUGGCCGGUAGAUUAACAGCAGUUUUGUAAAGUGAUUGGGAGGCUGUUACUAAGGACCAGGCUCACAGUGUCUGCAGUCGGCCUGCAAAUCUUCUCUUUGAAAUGCACAGGAACAGGAAGUAACGCACUGCAAGUACAGAUGUGUUGCUGCUUUUGGUAACAGAAAUUUUAGCAAAACAUUUGCUCUCCUUAAAGCAAAAAAACAGCUGUCUGCUGUAACUAAAUGUGUUUCGAGCAGGCAGUGCCUUUUAUACUCACAAAACACUUUUUGUUUUGAUCAUUUUGUUUCACUUCUUCAUCUUCACUUAUGACCCUGCUACAGCACUAUAAGUUUGACUAAAGCACUUGUUUACUUUUCCCCAUUAACUUCCUGUGAAUGUGUUACAGGUAAUAGGACCCCUUCUAAGCCCAGUUAGUGGAGAGUUAUAUGAAACUGACUGUCGAUUUUAUGUCUACAUGCUUGUUUAAUGCAAACUGGAAAAGCCUUUGCGUCAAAAUUUUUGUUGUAACAAAAAUAAAGAAAGAAUGAGUCUCA